rnacentral:rRNA from 1 species
UCAUUUCUGCAGUCGAGAUUCCUACGGGAGGCAGCAGUGGGGAAUCUUAGACAAUGGGCGAAAGCCUGAUCUAGCCAUGCCGCGUGAGUGAUGAAGGCCCUAGGGUCGUAAAGCUCCUUCAACUGUGAAGAUAAUGACGGUAGCAGUAGAAGAAACCCCGGCUAACUCCGUGCCAGCAGCCGCGGUAAUACGGAGGGGGUUAGCGUUGUUCGGAAUUACUGGGCGUAAAGCGUACGUAGGCGGAUUAAUAAGUUAGAGGUGAAAUCCCAGGGCUCAACCCUGGAACUGCCUUUAAAACUGUUAGUCUUGAGAUCGAGAGAGGUGAGUGGAAUUCCAAGUGUAGAGGUGAAAUUCGUAGAUAUUUGGAGGAACACCAGUGGCGAAGGCGGCUCACUGGCUCGAUACUGACGCUGAGGUACGAAAGUGUGGGGAGCAAACAGGAUUAGAUACCCUGGUAGUCCACACCGUAAACGAUGAAUGCCAGACGUCAGCAAGCAUGCUUGUUGGUGUCACACCUAACGGAUUAAGCAUUCCGCCUGGGGAGUACGGUCGCAAGAUUAAAACUCAAAUGAAUUGACGG